UACAGAGGGUGCAAGCGUUAAUCGGAAUGACUGGGCGUAAAGGGCGCGUAGGCGGUUAUUUAAGUGGAUUGUGAAAGGCCUGGGCUUAACCUAGGAAUGGCAAGUUAUACUGAAUAGCUAGAGUAUUGGAGAGGGAAGCAGAAUUUCCGGUGUAGCGGUGAAAUGCGUAGAGAUCGGAAAGAAUACCGGUGGCGAAGGCGGCUUUCUGGCCAAAUGCUGACGCUGAGGCGCGAAGGCGUGGGUAGCGAACAGG
rnacentral:rRNA from 1 species